rnacentral:rRNA from 1 species
CCCUUAGAUGUUCUGGGCCGCACGCGUGCUACACUGAGUGGAUCAGCGGGUUAGGUAACACGAAAGUGUAUCCUAAUCUUCAAAUCCGCUCGUGAUGGGGAUUGAUGGUUGCAAUUUUUUAUCAUGAACGAGGAAUACCUUGUAGGCGCGUGUCAUCAUCACGCGCCGAAUACGUCCCUGCCCUUUGUACACACCGCCCGUCGCUCCUACCGAUUGAAUGCUCAGGUGAGCCAUUCGGACUUUCAUCAUGCUGGUUUCCAGUUUUGAUGAAGGAAAGUCUUGCGAACCUUAUCAUUUAGAGGAAGGAGAAGUCGUAACA